CCUACGGGAGGCAGCAGUGGGGAAUCUUGUGCAAUGGACGAAAGUCUGACACAGCCACGCCGCGUGCGGGAAGAAGGCCUUCGGGUUGUAAACCGCUUUCAGCAGGAACGAAAAUGACGGUACCUGCAGAAGAAGAUGCGGCCAACUACAUGCCAGCAGCCGCGGUGAUACGUAGGCAUCAAGCGUUGUCCGGAUUUAUUGGGCGUAAAGAGCUCGUAGGCGGUUCAGCAAGUCGGGUGUGAAAACUCUGGGCUUAACCCAGAGCCUGCACUCGAAACUGCUGUGACUAGAGUUCGGUAGGGGAGCAGGGAAUUCCUAGUGUAGCGGUGAAAUGCGCAGAUAUUAGGAGGAACACCAAUGGCGAAGGCACUGCUCUGGGCCGAUACUGACGCUGAGGAGCGAGAGCGUGGGUAGCAAACAGGAUUAGAUACCCUGGUAGUCCACGCCGUAAACGAUGGGCACUAGGUGUGGGUCUCUAACCAACGAGAUCUGCGCCGUCGCUAACGCAUUAAGUGCCCCGCCUGGGGAGGUACGGUCGCGAGACUAAACUACAAGAGAGUUAGACGCGUGAGACGUGACCGACGGACGACGACGAGGGGAGGAGG
rnacentral:rRNA from 1 species